rnacentral:rRNA from 1 species
GAUGAACGCUGGCGGCGUGCCUAAUACAUGCAAGUCGAGCGAAUGGAUUAAGAGCUUGCUCUUAUGAAGUUAGCGGCGGACGGGUGAGUAACACGUGGGUAACCUGCCCAUAAGACUGGGAUAACUCCGGGAAACCGGGGCUAAUACCGGAUAACAUUUUGAACCGAAUGGUUCGAAAUUGAAAGGCGGCUUCAGCUGUCACUUAUGGAUUGACCCGCGUCGCAUUAGCUAGUUGGUGAGGUAACGGCUCACCAAGGCAGCGAUGCGUAGCCGACCUGAGAGGGUGAUCGGCCACACUGGGACUGGGACACGGCCCAGACUCCUACGGGAGGGAGCAGUAGGGAAUCUUCCGCAAUGGACGAAAGUCUGACGGAGCAACGCCGCGUGAGUGAUGAAGGCUUUCGGGUCGUAAAACUCUGUUGUUAGGGAAGAACAAGUGCUAGUUGAAUAAGCUGGCACCUUGACGGUACCUAACCAGAAAGCCACGGCUAACUACGUGCCAGCAGCCGCCGUAA